GCCCCCAUCGUCUAGCCAGGUCAGGACACCGCCCUUUCAAGGCGGCGACGCGGGUUCGAAUCCCGCUGGGGGUACCA
rnacentral:tRNA from 1 species